rnacentral:rRNA from 1 species
AACGCUGGCGGCAGGCUUAAUACAUGCAAGUCGAACGGUAACAUGUCGGAGCAAUCUGAUGAUGACGAGUGGCGCACGGGUGCGUAACGCGUAUGCAACCUACCCAUAACCGGAACAUAACGUUGAGAAAUCGGCGCUAAUAUUCCAUGUGUAUAUUUUGUGGCAUCAUAGGAUAUAUAAAGAUUAAUUGGUUAUGGAUGGGCAUGCGUAUCAUUAGCUAGUUGGUAGGGUAACGGCCUACCAAGGCUGCGAUGAUUAGGGGUUCUGAGAGGAUAACCCCCCACACUGGAACUGAGACACGGUCCAGACUCCUACGGGAGGCAGCAGUAGGGAAUAUUGGGCAAUGGAGGCAACUCUGACCCAGCCAUGCCGCGUGAAGGAAGACGGUCCUAUGGAUUGUAAACUUCUUUUAUCAUAGAGUAACCGCAGGGACGUGUCCCUGCCUGCAAGUAUAUGAUGAAUAAGCAUCGGCUAACUCCGUG